rnacentral:rRNA from 1 species
GACGAACGCUGGCGGCGUGCUUAACACAUGCAAGUCGAACGGAAAGGCCCUGCUUUUGUGGGGUGCUCGAGUGGCGAACGGGUGAGUAACACGUGAGUAACCUGCGCUUGACUUUGGGAUAACUUCAGGCAACUGGGGCUAAUACCGGCUAGGAGCUCCUGCUGCAGGGUGGGGGUUGGAAAGUUUCGGCGGUUGGGGAUGGACUCGCGGCUUAUCAGCUUGUUGGGGGGGUAGUGGCUUACCCAGGCUUUGACGGGUAGCCGGCCUGAGAGGGUGACCGGCCACAUUGGGACUGAGAGACGCCCCAGACUGCUACGGGAGGCAGCAGGGGGGAAUAUUGCACAAUGGGCGGAAGCCUGAUGCAGAGACGCCGCGUGCGGGAUGACGGCCUUCGGGUUGUAAACCGCUUUCGCCUGUGACGAAGCGUGAGUGACGGUAAUGGGUAAAGAAGCACCGGCUAACUACGUG